AGUGAACGCUGGCGGUAGGCCUAACACAUGCAAGUCGAACGGCAGCACAGUAAGAGCUUGCUCUUACGGGUGGCGAGUGGCGGACGGGUGAGGAAUACAUCGGAAUCUACUUUUUCGUGGGGGAUAACGUAGGGAAACUUACGCUAAUACCGCAUACGACCUACGGGUGAAAGCAGGGGAUCUUCGGACCUUGCGCGAUUGAAUGAGCCGAUGUCGGAUUAGCUAGUUGGCGGGGUAAAGGCCCACCAAGGCGACGAUCCGUAGCUGGUCUGAGAGAAUGAUCAGCCACACGGGAACUGAGACACGGUCAAGACUCCUACGGGAGGCAGCAGUGGGGAAUAUUGGACAAUGGGCGCAAGCCUGAUCCAGCCAUACCGCGUGGGUGAAGAAGGCCUUCGGGUUGUAAAGCCCUUUUGUUGGGAAAGAAAAGCAGCAGGUUAAUACCCCGCUGUUCUGACGGUACCCAAAGAAUAAGCACCGGCUAACUUCGUG
rnacentral:rRNA from 1 species